ensembl:miRNA mdo-mir-7296 mdo-mir-7296
GAAGUUUUAGGGCUGUCUUAAGUUUUGUUCAUUUUAUUAUCUUAAGAUGACACUAAGACUUUGG